UACAGAGGGUGCGAGCGUUGUCCGGAAUCACUGGGCGUAAAGGGCGCGUAGGCGGCCUGAUAAGUAGGGGGGUGAAAAUCCUGUGGCUUAACUGCAGGGCUGCCUCCUAGACUGUUAGGCUCGAGCACGGUAGAGGCAGAUGGAAUUCCCGGUGUAGCGGUGGAAUGCGUAGAGAUCGGGAAGAACAUCGGUGGCGAAGGCGACUACCUGGCCUGUUCUUGACGCUGAGGCGCGAAAGCUAGGGGAGCAAACGGG
rnacentral:rRNA from 1 species